GCCCCUGUGGUGGAAUGGUAGACGCGGUAGACUCAAAAUCUAUUGUCCUUCGGGACAUGCUGGUUCAAGUCCGGCCAGGGGCA
rnacentral:tRNA from 1 species